CGGAGGAGCGCGGCAGGCCGAGCGCUGGGAGCGAGGUGGCUCAGACAUGGACCGCAGCGAGCAAGGUCUGCUGAAGACAGAGCCAGUGGCCGAGGAAGGAGAGGAUGCUGUUACCAUGCUCAGUGCUCCAGAGACGCUGACGGAAGAGGAGCAAGAGGAGCUGAGGCGGGAGCUUACUAAGGUAGAAGAAGAAAUCCAGACUCUGUCCCAAGUAUUGGCCGCAAAAGAGAAGCAUCUCGCCGAGCUCAAGCGGAAGCUUGGCAUCUCCUCGCUUCAGGAGUUCAAGCAGAACAUUGCCAAAGGGUGGCAAGACGUGACGGCAACCAAUGCAUACAAGAAGACAUCUGAAACUCUAUCACAAGCUGGGCAGAAGGCCUCCGUUGCAUUUUCAUCGGUUGGCUCAGUCAUCACCAAAAAGCUGGAAGACGUGAAAAACUCCCCAACUUUCAAGUCAUUUGAAGAAAAAGUUGAAAAUUUAAAGUCUAAAGUAGGAGGAGCCAAGCCUGCUGGNGGCGAUUUUGGAGAAGUCCUGAAUUCCACAGCCAACGCUACCAGUACCAUGACCACAGAGCCUCCUCCAGAACAGACGACAGAGAGCCCCUGAGCUGCCGACCUGUGUCCUGCUGCCCACUGCCAGGUGCUGCCAGCGAGAGCCAAGCACAUCUUGACAACGCUCAUGGCUGCGGAUUUCCACCAGAUGUGCUUUUAUUUAGCUUUACUUAUUUCUUUGACCAAAUAGUUGAUAAAUGAAACAAAGUGAAAUCACCUUCACCUGCACUCCAGGGAAACACUGUUCACAUGCACGGAAGGCCCUUUGUAUAGGCAACAGCAUCAUAGAGCCUCUGGUAGAUCCCUGCAGGCAACUACUGUGUUUCUCCUUAAAAUCACUGUACAUCUGGAUUCUAGUUUGAUCUUUCUUUACUAUCUUCAUGAGUCAUUGUUUUUGGGUCUCUGUACACUUAAUCAAUUUCUAACAAACUGUUCUUUUCUAAAUUCUGGUUAUUAAAAGUCUUGGAAUGAUUUCAUUACUUUCAAAGGAGAAACNACCAGGUACAUUUUUUUCUCGGAUAAACAGUUCUAUGAGGACCAUAUCUUGGGUUUCUAAAGACACCAGACUGAAGUAGACAGGUGUGUAUGCAGUUCCAUAAUUCUGUAAAUUAAAAACAUGCAGACACUCAAACUUCCAGUGGGGAGAGUGUGGGUCCUCCUGCCUUGGUAACUGUCAUUUGUAGCUACAUCUAUUUGAGCAUAUCAGUUAUUUAUUAUACCAUUCUCACACAUUUUUUUUUACAAGAUUAAAAGUUAAUUUCAGAUAAAUUGAUAGAAUAACAUUGUGAGUUAAGUAUAUGAUAUUACAGUAAGUUUGAAUGUUCCCACAUUCAUCACUGAUAAUUCCAAAAGUCUAAAAGUCUUUAGGUCUAUACAGCUAUAAAAAUGCUAAAAAAAAAUUCACCUUAGGGAAAAUUACUGCCUCCAUUAAAUCCAUUUAACACCUUUAGGAAGCACAGAAAGUUCUAUGAGAAAUACAACUUGAAUAUUUUUUUAUACUAAGGUAUUGUUGAUAACUCCGAAGGCUGUGAGGCGUUACUACGACUGAGCUUAUCAGGCUGUACCUGUUCUCAGUGUGUUAGUGCCUGAGCUGUACUGUAUGUAGAUUUGUUCCUACUCUAAGAACUGUCGGGGCUGUGAGUCAAAGCUUCCCAGUGGCUCUGCUAAGCUCCUCUAUUAACUGUGGUCACUCCUGACUCACUCCUGCUUCCUUUGCUGUGUAUGUUUAUGGCCUAUGAGGUUGUAUCUGUUACUUCUCUAUUGUGGUUUUACCAGUGUCCAUGCCAAAUGUUAAUUGCCAAGCUUGGAGUGACCUAAAGCAUUUUUCAGAGCAUGACUAGAUUUAAUUGAGGAUAAGGUUUCUGCAAACCAGAAUUGAAAAGCCACAGUGUCGGUUGUUACAAAAUGACAUGCUGCCAUUCCUGGUUGCUACUUGGAUGCAAUGGAAACUAUGCUUGAUUACAUGUGAAAAUCUUAAUAAAGUCUGUGUCUCA